GCCCCGGUGGCGGAAUUGGCAUACGCGGCAGUUUGAGGGGCUGUGCCGAAAGGCGUGAGAGUUCAAGUCUCUCCCGGGGCA
rnacentral:tRNA from 2 species